GAAGAAGCCUGCAUUCUCGACACCAAAAACUCCAUUAUUCCGCCUAAUUCAAGGCCAUUAAAAAAGGGAAUUAACAAAAAGGCCCCUCAACUUUUCCUAGCCCUUGAGCCCAAAUAGUGUUUAAGGUGUUUGAAUUUGAAGCCCAUCCCAAGGAAACUAGUUUUUUCAGCCCAUCAGCCUCAAUGGCUAUGGCUGAUCUGAUCCAACUUUAUCUCUCUCAGUCUCAACAACUCUUUUCUUUACUUUUCCCAGAGCUCCAACCGGAUGAUACAUCACUACACCCAUUCCCACCAAAUCCUCCGACGCAAUGCCAAUCUUCAAAACGCCAUUCAACGGCUACUCCGUUAAAUUCAGCCCCUUCUACGAAUCGCGACUCGCUGUCGCCACUGCCCAGAACUUCGGCAUCCUCGGAAACGGCCGUGUCCAUGUCCUCGCUCUCCCUCCAUCCCCUUCCCUUCCCCUCUCUGAACUCGUCGCCUUCGACACAGCUGACGGUGUCUACGAUCUCGCCUGGUCUGAAUCCCACGAUUCUCUCUUAGUCGCCGCUGUCGCUGACGGCUCCGUUAAGCUCUUCGACACCGCUCUUCCUCCAACGCAGAACCCUCUCAGAUCCCUCCAAGAGCACACCCGCGAAGUCCACUCCGUUGACUACAAUCCCACUCGGCGAGAUUCCUUCAUCACUUCCUCUUGGGAUGACACCAUCAAGCUCUGGACUCUCGACCGUCCCGCUAGUAUACGCACAUUCAAAGAACACGCCUAUUGCGUCUACUCCGCUGCCUGGAACCCUAGGCACACCGAUGUUUUUGCUUCCGCUUCCGGCGAUUGUACGGUCAGAAUUUGGGAUGUCCGUGAACCGGGUUCAACGAUGAUAAUUCCAGGGCACGAUUUCGAAAUUUUGUCUUGCGAUUGGAACAAGUAUGAUGAUUGUCUUAUAGCGACGGCGUCGGUGGAUAAGAGCAUUAGGGUGUGGGAUGUGAGGAGCUACAGGGCACCAAUUGCUGUGUUAAAUGGGCAUGGAUAUGCGGUUAGGAAAGUGAAGUUUUCGCCGCACCAUAGGAAUUUGAUGGUUUCUUGCUCUUAUGACAUGACAGUGUGUAUGUGGGAUUUCAUGGUGGAGGAUGCAUUGGUUGGGAGGUAUGAUCACCACACAGAAUUCGCAGUUGGGGUGGAUAUGAUUGUGUUGUUGGGGGAUUGUUGUCUAGUAUUGGUUGGGAUGACCUGGUUUACGUUUGAUAGCAUGGGACAGACCCCAGAGCACCCUAACAGGGAAGUGUUUUCUACUUGUUCUUCUUGUCUUAGUUGCUAGUUACACUGAAAGUUGAAUUUUCAAUAGAACGAAAGCAUUUGAGUGUUGCUUGUUGGGGAUAAUUAUCGCAGUUCAAUCUUGCUGAAUGAACCCAUGUAUAUCACUUUUAAUAAAGCAAAAAGGAUUAUACUUUGACAUCGCUUUGUGCGGUUAUAUAUUUGUUGAGUAGUUAGAUUGAAGAUGUGACUAUAUUUUUCACUUUCUUUAUGCAUUUUGUUUCUGAAGUAUGGCUUGUUUUGUGUUAGGUUUGAGAUGCAUGAUUAUGAAUUAUGUGGAAUAUUGCCUCUCAGAGUUGAUACUAUCAGCUGUAUGAUAGAAAAUUUGGAAAUGAAAUGCAUAUGAAUGAUUUUGUCUGUCUAUCCAUCUGUAUGUGUAAAUAUGUGAAGUUUGAUUAGGUAACUCGGUUUAUUUAAAGUAAACGUUACUUUGUUAAUAGUCACCAUUAGAAGUGGGGUUGGCCUGUUGGCAAACUAAGGAAGGUCAGUUCACACCUCCUCUCGGUUGGUCAUCAACUCAUCAUAUCAUUCUUCUGUAUCUAGAUUGUGAUGCAUUUGAGCUCUUUUACAAAGUCAAAAGGUACAACAUGAAAAUGGUGAUCAACAUUCAACAAUGAUUGAACUUGCUUUGCAGUAAUUCACAAUGCUUCAAUGUAUUGUGCAUAGGAUUUAAUUGUAUUUAGAUGAUUUAUUAGGUGGGUAAUAAUUGUCAUUUAUGGGAACCAAGGAGGGGCUAGAAUGACCAUAAUGAUUAUGAAAAUGUUAAUAUGCAUCAUAUGGAAAGCUAGAAGGUCGAAGAAAAUAACCAUUCCAUGUAAAGUUUAUUAACUAUUAGUUGCUUUUGGCAUCAAUGUUCCAAUCUGGUUUUGUAAGAGUGCAACUAAUUUUAGAUCUUUGUAUUGUAGAGUUCUGAACUUUGUAUUUUUUGGAGGUUGGCUUAGUAGAAAAUGAUUUAUAUCAAUAGAUUGAUUUGACAAAUGCUAGGCCUGAGAAUUGGUAUUCAAAAGUGCAUCUGCCUAUAUCUAGAUUGCGAGGCAUUCUGCCUGAAUUAACUUCCUGAGCGCCGAUUUCAUCUAAGAUUUAAGAACCUACUUCAUCUAAGAUUUAAGUUCUUAAUUAUUCCAGCAUUACUACUUGUCAUUUGAAUAGUGUUGCAAUUGAUGCCCAUUUGAGCUGUUUGCCUCUUCCCCUUUUUUUGUCUUUCUUUUCUUUUCUGUUUUCACGUAGGAAGUAUAUUUCUUUUAUCCAUGUAGGAGUUUGAUGCAACCCAAUGUGCAGCAGCUGAUAUUGGCCUUACUUGCCUAUCAUCUACUUGUAAGGCUUGCAAGAGUGUACUCUGAAUUAAUUUCCACAACAUUUUAAGUGGUGUGGGUAGCAACUCUUCCAUUGAAAAUAUGCCGCAGAGCAAGUAUAGAAUUGGCUGAACGAAGUAUGGGAAGAAUAUAGAGGCUAAAGAAACCAAAUGGGGAGCAUCCUUUCCCUGAUAAAAUUGAGGACUGGCAUGAUAAAGGUGAAAAUUGGGGUUAAGCUGAUGUUGGAAGUAGUUCCUUGCAGUCAUAAAUGCAAUCUUAAGUAAAAGUUGCCUCUGGGGACUAACCUUUCAGAAUACCAUGAAAAAGGUCUGUUCUCGCGUAUAUAUAUAUAUAU
rnacentral:misc_RNA from 1 species